AUGAACGCUAGCGAUAGGCUUAACACAUGCAAGUCAAGGGGCAUCACGAGGUAGCAAUACUUUGGUGGCGACCGGCGUACGGGUGCGUAACACGUAUGCAACCUUCCUGUAAGUGUGGGAUAGCCUCCUGAAAGGGAGAUUAAUACCUCAUGAUAUGUAUUUGCUGCAUGGCAUUUACAUUAAACAUUUAUGGCUUACAGAUGGGCAUGCGUUCCAUUAGGCAGUUGGUGUGGUAACGGCUCACCAAACCUACGAUGGAUAGGGGUUCUGAGAGGAAGGUCCCCCACACUGGAACUGAGACACGGUCCAGACUCCUACGGGAGGCAGCAGUGAGGAAUAUUGGUCAAUGGGCGCGAGCCUGAACCAGCCACGUCGCGUGAAGGAUGACGGCCUUAUGGGUUGUAAACUUCUUUUACGAGGGGAAAUAAAGUGAGUCACGUGUGAUUUUUUGCAUGUACCCUGUGAAUAAGCAUCGGCUAACUCCGUG
rnacentral:rRNA from 1 species